rnacentral:rRNA from 1 species
UACAGAGGGGGCAAGCGUUGUCCGGAAUUAUUGGGCGUAAAGAGCUCGUAGGCGGUUUGUCGCGUCUGCUGUGAAAUCCCGAGGCUCAACCUCGGGCUUGCAGUGGGUACGGGCAGACUAGAGUGCGGUAGGGGAGACUGGAAUUCCUGGUGUAGCGGUGGAAUGCGCAGAUAUCGGGAGGAACACCGAUGGCGAAGGCAGGUCUCUGGGCCGCAACUGACGCUGAGGAGCGAAAGCAUGGGGAGCGAACAGG